rnacentral:rRNA from 1 species
UACGUAGGUGACAAGCGUUAUCCGGAUUUACUGGGCGUAAAGGGCGUGUAGGCGGUCUUGCAAGUCAGAAGUGAAAUUCCUGAGCUCAACUCGGGCGCUGCUUCUGAAACUGCAGGACUUGAGUGCUGGAGGGGAUAGCGGAAUUCCUAGUGGAGCGGUAAAAUGCGCAGAUUUUAGGAAGAACACCGGUGGCGAAGGCGACUUUCGAGACUGGUUCUGAGUAUCUAAUCCGAGAGCCAAGGUAGGGACCGGGGUUAUAACCCCGGGGUGUCCUGGCCGUACACGGUGGGUACUAGGUGUGGGAGGUAUCGAGUCCUCCCUCGCUUGAGUUAAGGCAAUAAGGACUCCGCCUGGGGAGUACGGCCGCAAGGCUUAAACUCAAAGUAAUUGACGGGA